rnacentral:rRNA from 1 species
CCUACGGGAGGCAGCAGUGAGGAAUAUUGGUCAAUGGGCGCAAGCCUGAACCAGCCAAGCCGCGUGAGGGAUGAAGGCCCUAAGCGUUGCAGACCUCUUUUGCCGGGGAGCAAAAUGCCGCACGCGUCCGGUUCUGAGGGUACCCGAAGAAAAAGCAUCGGCUAACUCCGUGCCAGCAGCCGCGGUAAUACGGAGGAUGCGAGCGUUGUCCGGAUUCAUUGGGUUUAAAGGGUGCGCAGGCGGGAGUUUAAGCCAGCGGUGAAAUUGCGGGGCUCAACCCCGACGAGCCGUCGAAACUGGGGGCCUUGAGUGAGGCGGAGGUAUGCGGAAUGCGAGGUGUAGCGGUGAAAUGCAUAGAUAUCGCGAAGAACUCCGAUUGCGAAGGCAGCGUACCGUGCCGCCACUGACGCUGAGGCACGAAAGCGUGGGGAUCGAACAGGAUUAGAUACCCUAGUAGUC